ensembl:lncRNA
CUAAAAUGAAUAUUCUAAAAAACAGAAAUAUGGAGUUUUUGUUUUGGUGAUCUUUUUGACAGUAUAAGUCGAUUUAUUUACAUUCUCAGGAAAAGUCUAAUAGCUGUUUUUAAAUUCUACCUGUAAAGCCUGUAGAGCUUCAACAUGUCGGGCUUUUGUCUCCUUAUAUCGCCCCUAUUGACCAUGUUUGGUUUUGUCGUUACAUACUAGUUUUAUGUUGAGCAGGCUGAGUUUAGUUCAAGUAUUUCAUUUUUUUUUUCAUGUUAAAGUGAAGCACACGCAGUAUUUAAAGAUUGGAGUUUAUUGGUCAGACAUUCCAAAUCGAUGUUAGUAUAAAGGUCAAAGUGAAAGAAAACCAAAACACUUGCAGGUUAUGGUAAGUAAUAGUAAUAAUUGUUGUAAGGUGGUCAUAACAUUGUAUGGAGUGAUGGAUGUUUACUCUCCCUUUGACAAACUCUCCCGCUUACCCCUACGUGUAAAUGCUUCAGUGACUCCUUGUUUCUGAAAUUCGGGAUUUCAGGCCUUAGUGUGUUAUUUCGUGGAUGUUGGUGUUAUUCCAUGAGUUGGUGUAAUAAGAAAUCUACAUAAAAGAAAAAAAAAGAAUAUUAAAUUCAAUCCAGCUAUUUCUUUAUGGAGUAAAAUAUCACAAAAAGACAUUCGUGCGUAGCCCCGGUGAGGCCUGAUGUGUUCAGUCAGAGACGGUGUCGUUCUGGUUUCUUCGAGUCUUUGAAAGCUUCAGCAUACAGUAGAUGGUUCGUACAGUCGAACACUAUUAGAUUUAAAACAGUGAAGUUAUCUGAAUCCUCGUUACUUUAAAAUCUGUGAGUCGUCUUGUCUGAUUGUGAUGACGUGGUUUCCAGUAGGCUGUUUGUUGUGCUACCUUUUAGUUGUUUUGUUUAUCUCUCUUUUUUCCUGUGUAUUUGAAUGACGUGUGGAUGCUUGUGAAGCACAUGAUUUGUUGUGUCUUUCUGUUUUUUGUUUUUUUACUAUACUUUUUGUUUUUGGAAAAAAAAGUAAGUAAUAUUUGCGCUGGUUUUCCUCUUGGCAUCGGUGCAAACUUCAUUCAGAGUGGAGCAAUACUAACAGUAGAGUUAUUACAAUCAGCUGGGGUCCUGUUGUGCAGCCUUUAAAUACAGGAAGAAAAAUGUUACCAACCCCAACCUAAAGUGUCAUAAAAUGAAUAGCUAGCCUGUUUUUGAGUUGGACACCACUUGUAUGAUUUUACAGUUUCAUAGCAUUUUCACCAGCACAUGCACACACAGAAGUAAGGAGGUGUAACCCUGUAAAAAGUACCAUACAUCCGCUCAUCUGUUAGUAAAUGCACAGCUGGCCAUUUCUAUAACAUAAAUGUGAAUUUUUUUGCACAAAGUUGAACAAAUAAGCUACUUUCCCUGUGUAUGUAGUAAGUUGGUGAACUUUGGAUCAGUCCAAACUUUCCGCCAUAUGUACAUACGGCACAAUUCAUGUGUUUAUGGAAAUUGCAGCUGUGUAGUUAUUGUGUAGCAGGAGCCGCUUAUACACUUAAUGCCACUGUAUCAAAGCUUCUGAAAGCCAUUUUCCAUCUUAUUCCCACAUGUACUGUAUGUUGUGUAAAAUGUAUUAACAUGUACUAUAUCAUAAGUAUAUAUGAAUAUAUAAUUACUUGAGGUGCAGUAAAUAUUUGCCAUGGAUCAAACAAAUUGAGUAGGCCCUAAAUAGUCGAAUAAGUCGUUUGAGGGGGCUGCGUCUCCACGAGUGAACGAGGAAAACAUUUUGUGUAUUACUUUUGUAUUAUUUGGUCUUACCCUAAUAGAUAUUAAAUAGUUCUUGUUGCAUCCUGUUUUGUUAUGUGAUGAGUUUGCAU